rnacentral:rRNA from 1 species
AGACCCGAAACCCGGUGAUCUAGCCAUGGGCAGGUUGAAGGUUGGGUAACACUAACUGGAGGACCGAACCGACUAAUGUUGAAAAAUUAGCGGAUGACCUGUGGCUGGGGGUGAAAGGCCAAUCAAACCGGGAGAUAGCUGGUUCUCCCCGAAAGCUAUUUAGGUAGCGCCUCGUGAAUUCAUCUCCGGGGGUAGAGCACUGUUUCGGCUAGGGGGCCAUCCCGGCUUACCAACCCGAUGCAAACUGCGAAUACCGGAGAAUGUUAUCACGGGAGACACACGGCGGGUGCUAACGUCCGUCGUGAAGAGGGAAACAACCCAGACCGCCAGCUAAGGUCCCAAAGUCAUGGUUAAGUGGGAAACGAUGUGGGAAGGCCCAGACAGCCAGGAUGUUGGCUUAGAAGCAGCCAUCAUUUAAAGAAAGCGUAAUAGCUCACUGGUCGAGUCGGCCUGCGCGGAAGAUGUAACGGGGCUAAACCAUGCACCGAAGCUGCGGCAGCGACGCUUAUGCGUUGUUGGGUAGGGGAGCGUUCUGUAAGCCUGCGAAGGUGGCCUGUGAGGGUUGCUGGAGGUAU